rnacentral:rRNA from 1 species
AUUGAACGCUGGCGGCAUGCCUUACACAUGCAAGUCGAACGGCAGCGCGGACUUCGGUCUGGCGGCGAGUGGCGAACGGGUGAGUAAUACAUCGGAACGUACCCUGUUGUGGGGGAUAACUAGUCGAAAGAUUAGCUAAUACCGCAUACGACCUGAGGGUGAAAGUGGGGGACCGGAAACGGCCUCAUGCAGCAGGAGCGGCCGAUGUCUGAUUAGCUAGUUGGUGGGGUAAAGGCCCACCAAGGCGACGAUCAGUAGCUGGUCUGAGAGGACGAUCAGCCACACUGGGACUUAGACACGGCCCAGACUCCUACGGGAGGCAGCAGUGGGGAAUUUUGGACAAUGGGGGCAACCCUGAUCCAGCAAUGCCGCGUGUGUGAAGAAGGCCUUCGGGUUGUAAAGCACUUUUGUCCGGAAAGAAAUCGCGCUGGUUAAUACCUGGCGUGGAUGACGGUACCGGAAGAAUAAGCACCGGCUAACUACGUG